UUGCAGCCAGUUAACCCCACCAUGCUCUUUUCUCCGUGGGGCCUGGAGCGCAGUGUCUGCAAACAGCAGCCUCCACGGUGGUGUGUGCAGCCUGCUACCUGCAUGGGUCACCCUAAGGGACCCGGAGACGGCC
ensembl:snoRNA SNORA70 Small nucleolar RNA SNORA70